rnacentral:tRNA from 1 species
CUAUAAUAAUUUAAUAAAAAUAUUGAUUUUGUAAAUCAAAAAUACAUUUGUUUAAAGCAU